ACAUCGAAAAUUCACUCUUCUAUCAGAUUAGCGUUGGAAUGAGUUUCACAGUAGGUCUUGGAGUUGGGUACAAAGAUUUAAGUGCAUUUGAAUUUUAAAUUUGCAAACCUAACAUUGUUCCUUCCCCAAAGUGCUCUGUUCUUUGUUGGCUCCUUUAAGUGGCUAGGUUACUACGGGAUACUGUUCGCCAUCUCAGAGAAUCCUAGUUGGGCUCCCUUUUCUCAGCUGUGAUCUAAUUGAUAUUCUGAUAUUUCCUCUAGAUCAAGAGGGAUGGUGUUUGGACCGGCCAAUUUAGGGGAAGAUGCAAUUAGAAGCUUCAUUGCAAAACAUCGCUGCAACUCCUGCUGUGGGAAGCUCAGGCUGCCGGAUUUAAAAAGGAAUGACUACUCCCAUGCAAGGGCACAUUGCAACUUGGAACUUGCAAAAACCACUGAACCAGCUGAGGAACAUCCAGAAAGAGACAGAAAUAGAAGUCCCCUGGAAGAUCACACACGCCUUUAAAAAGGAAGAUGAAGGAAGAUGAUGGUCCCUUAGCUCCUUCUGCCAUGAUUUCUGUGGUAAUAGACAUAGACUGACACGAUCCUGACUAUGCCAGAAUCUCUGUCACGAUGACUUUACAGUGUGGACCUCCCUGGAGGUACCCUCUGAGCCUCAUCUCUCACUGCCCGGCAGAGGGCACCGUGUCUAAUGGAGGGACCCUCCUGGAUACUGACUUCUGAGAAGAAUGUGUGGCAUACACUCUCCUCUCCCGGUUCUGCAUGAAGAUACUAGAUGAGUCCGUUGGGAAGACUUUCCUUUAUACCUCAUUGCGUCAGCUGCCCACUUGGAGUAGAAUGCUGUGUACUAAAGAACCAGGGAAUAAAUUAAUUUAUUUUCUC
rnacentral:lncRNA from 1 species